rnacentral:lncRNA from 1 species
AGAGCUACUGUGUGCCAAGCACCAUAUUUAGAUAAGUGAGAGAUGACUCUUGCCUUCAAGAGGUUUGCAGUUUUUGGUGACUAGACUUUCCCUUUUCCAAAGUAGUUUAAGAUUUGCAUAGCUCUGUUUGCAGAGAAUUAUUUAAAUAUGUCUAAGGUAUUCAUACGAAUGUGUGCUCCACAUGCAGUCUUCUGAACAAUCAAUUACAUCCCAAGAUUUAGUAAUCUACUAAAUUUUCAAAAGAAACAAAAUAAUAGGUUCAGUGUGAUUUAAAGAACAUUUUGGGCAAUUUACUAAUAUUUUUCAGCAGUUCCUGCAUUGUAUAAUUAUGUAAGACAAUUAAAAUUCUUAUAUUUAAAGCUAUUACCAUGAACUAACUACUAUCAGGUUUGUUCUACCAUGUGCUACUUACUUUGAAGCUGGUUCAGUUGGUUUUGGAAAUAUACUUUUUCACAAAAUUGGUGUCAUCUCUAGUAAAAAGUAUGUGAGGUUAUCCAGAUUGAUCAUGUUCUGCUGAGUUUGCAGUAAAUAGAGCUGAAGCUUAGUUUGGGUAAAAUUACUGAAGAAUUACUUCUGACAGUUGUCUAGCUAUCCUCAGAGUUUCUUUGCUUUCCAAUCCCAACGGUGUUAAUUUUCCACUUUAAUUUCCUAGCCCUCAUUCAGAUUGUUAUAGGACUCAUUUGUGACUAUAUUUUGUGGAAAGGAGACAUUCAAAACUGUGAAGAAAAAAAAAAGACACAACAAAAUGACACGUUUUUCUGAAAUUUUUGUUUUUCUAACCAUAUUUUUUCUGAUUAUUCUGCUGAA